rnacentral:tRNA from 1 species
GGCCUGUUGGUCAAGUGGUUAAGACACCGCCCUUUCACGGCGGUAACACGGGUUCGAAUCCCGUACGGGUCACCACUU